GAUGAACGCUGGCGGCGUGCCUAAUACAUGCAAGUCGAGCGAACAGACGAGGAGCUUGCUUCUUCGACGUUAGCGGCGGACGGGGGAGUAACACGUAGGUAACCUACCUAUAAGACUGGGAUAACUUCGGGAAACCGGAGCUAAUACCGGAUAAUAUUUCGAACCGCAUGGUUCGAUAGUGAAAGAUGGCUUUGCUGUCACUUAUAGAUGGACCUGCGCCGUAUUAGCUAGUUGGUAAGGUAACGGCUUACCAAGGCAACGAUGCAUAGCCGACCUGAGAGGGUGAUCGGCCACACUGGAACUGAGACACGGUCCAGACUCCUACGGGAGGCAGCAGUAGGGAAUCUUCCGCAAUGGGCGAAAGCCUGACGGAGCAACGCCGCGUGAGUGAUGAAGGUCUUCGGAUCGUAAAACUCUGUUAUUAGGGAAGAACAAACGUGUAAGUAACUGUGCACGUCUUGACGGUACCUAAUCAGAAAGCCACGGCUAACUACGUG
rnacentral:rRNA from 1 species